rnacentral:ncRNA from 2 species
GACGAACCGUGCGAACGUUGUUCGGAUUCACUGGGCUUAAAGGGCGCGUAGGCGGACGGUCAAGUCAGGGGUGAAAUCUUUCAGCUCAACUGGAAAAGUGCCUUUGAUACUGAUCGUCUCGAGGGAGGUAGGGGCAUGUGGAACUUCCGGUGGAGCGGUGAAAUGCGUAGAUAUCGGAAGGAACGCCGGUGGCGAAAGCGACGUGCUGGACCUCUUCUGACGCUGAGGCGCGAAAGCUAGGGGAGCAAACGGG